UUUUAUGGACAGAAGCUCCUUACCUUUUAGAUUUAUUCCCUCACUAGGCUCCCAGUUCUCCAAACUCUACUCUUUACUUGGAUUUUAAGGCAAGGGCCCAAUGAGAAAUCCAGGCAGAGAUGGGGAAAGGAAACCGGGAAGCUUUCAGUUCACUGAUCGGAUCUGCCUUCUCCUCUACUGCAGGGAGGAAGAGGGUUGAUUCUGAACAGAAAGACAACUGGUGAGACACCUCUAUUUUGGGGAUUUUUAAAUGUCUUACACUUUUAAAACUAAGUUUUUUUUCAACUUGUAGAACAACCUAUUAAUUAUCUUCUGUUUUGAGGUAAACAAGGAGAGAUAAGAAGACCUGAUAAAUCUCCUUUCCCUGUCUGCUAGCCAGAAAGAAGUAAUGCUUAAAUCUGUCUAUUAGAGGUAUUUAUUGGUAUUUUAUUUCAAAAUUGUGAUCAGGUAUAUAUGUGGGUUUAGAAAAUAACAUCCUAAUUUUAAUUUGUCAGACAGUGAAAUUUCAGUUUGGAUAGAAAAACCACAGAUCGGUUUUGUAAAAUAGGUUUUAGCAGUAUAGCCUCAAGAAAACUGCAUUUCAUCUGUAUCUAUCUUUCUAUCAUAAGAGGUUUAAAGGGGGAAAAAUGGGUUUAAGUGUUUAAACUUACCAAAAAAUGGGUUUUUGUUUAAAAUUAUCAAAUGGUUUUCUUCUCAAUGGUUUUCAUCCCAGUGUAUUUAAGUUGGACUAACUUUAUUAUUACAUUUAACUUCUUGGUCUCGAAAACAGGUAAUCAGCCUGCUUGUCAAAAGGCUUGCUUUAAGGUUUAUGGUCCUUAAAAGGUUUCAAAUCUCUAAAUUUAAAAUAGAUCCUGUAAUACUAAAUGACUUACGAAAAAAUUUUUUUGAAAUAUUAUGUGAGUUGCUGCUGAAAUAUGUAUUUUAAAUAUUGUUUGGAUGUAAACAAAAGCUCAUUAUAAACCUGACUCUACCAUAGAUUUUGUUCAAUACUCAGUGGUCACCUCAGUUUACCAAUUUGUUCUAUGAACUGAAAUUUAUAAUGGAUGAGCCCUGUGCUAAAGAUGGUUCAAUGAUGUAAUCCUUUAAAUCAGAAUUCUUUUGGUUACCAAUUAGCAAUUGUAGUGAUACCAAUGGAAUGUUUGUUUGACUUAUGAUGGUAAAAGCAAGUCAGAGAAGGUGAAGAAGGUAUGUUGGGUUUGAAUUCAGAAGAAAGAAGGACUUUGAUCUAAAGUCCAUAAAGCUUGAGUAUGCAGGUUUGUGAAGGAAGAAUGGAAGUUGUGUUCUGCUUUUUAAGCAGAGGGUUUUGAAGGAAAAGAGAGAAAGAGAAGGUGAAAGAGAACAGAUAGAUGUUCUGUUCCCAUAAUUGGAUCUUUAACUUAGGGAUAAUUUCUAGAAUUAAUGUAUGCAGUUUUGUAAAGUCACAAAUAAUUCUAGAAUUUCUCUGAAAAUUCCUUAGAGAGAUUCCUGACUGAUCUUGUCUUAGUUCCUUCAGAUGGCCUAAGGUCAGGAUUUGAUCUAGCCCUGAUUUGUAUUUACUAUAGAGCUAAUGAAUUCAACAUUCCUGUUCAGGUUUUAUGACUAAAUUUUGAUAAAUUAAUUAUUGCCAAAAUAUGUAAGAAUAAUUGCUAUAAUGUAGACUCAUAGGCUUUAAGGAAUCCUUAGAGAGGGUAAAUGAUCAGAAAAGCUUGUUUGAGGGUAUGGAAAUUUGUUUCUGGACUGCUGAUAAGCAGAACUUCUCUCAGCUGAAAUGGGUAAGACUUGUCUCCUAAGGCAAAAGAUUUCUAGGAUCCAAUAGCGACAAAGUGUUCUAAGGAGAGAGAAAGUCCUAGGAUGGUUAGAGAAGGAAACCCAAGGCUCACCUUGAACUGGACUUUCCUAACCAUCUAGGCUGCUAAUCCUUGAGUGAAACAAUAAUGGCCUGAGCCAGUGACAGCCUUGCUUUGUACAUGAAGCCACUCACUGUGUCCUUUGUGACUUGAGGAAAUAUUUUCCCUUUUGGGCCUUCUUCCUUCAUGACAAACUCCCAUAAUCAGCACAUAAUACAAAUUGGAAAAUUAAAUUUCCAUUUCCCCAAACAACCUAUUAGGUUUUAAUUGAACAUUCUCAAACUGUUAGGGAACAUACUUUGAGAAGUAGGUGAAGUUUAUUAAUUGAUGGCUUGUAUUUACAGCCUUAAUUGAAAUUUGGAUCUUCAGCUUGGAAUAGCUCAAAGAUCUCCUGAAUUUUCCCCAGAAUCUGGAGUAAAGAAAUUAAUCUAUAAAAUAUUGUUGCGCAAGUGGUUAUAGAUGUUAUAGUUAAUGUGUACUUUGCAAAAGGAUAUUCUUUAACAGAAACAUCACAUACCAACUCUGCAAACAACUCAGGAAUCUGAUUUCCUAAAGGGAUCUAUUCCUUUCAGAAUAUGGUUUCUGAAGAAGUCUGUUGGCUAAGAUACCCAAAAGCAAAUGUGUAAUGCCAAUUGCUAUUGUACUAAUUUUUUCUGUUUCUAUCUGGUGUUCUCAGGAAGGAGUAGUAUCUCUGGUAUGGAGGGCUUGUCGUGCCCUCCUAGGGCAGCUCUCCAACCUCUGACCCUCACCUGACACCCAGCUCUCACUAGUGGCUCCUAGUAGCUGCUAGCAUGCGGCAGCGGCCACACCCCGGGCAACGGCUUCGACAGGCCGGCUAAACCUUGUGAGGGUAGCCAUCGGGUCAUUGACCCCUGGUGAACCAGGGCUUUGCUCAUCCAGCAUGUGAAGACUGCUUCGGCUGAACAGACAGAAGAAACCAAUAAAAAGGUUCAACGGCUGAGAUGGCGACGCAGCAAAGCACUGUGGAGUGCUUAGGAUGUGUUGGAGCACAAAAGACAACAUGGCCAUCCAAUGCAGCUGAGGAAGUCUCCAGGUGUAACGACUUUUCGUGCCACUGGACCCAGGCUUCCAACGCCCAGAGAGUGGGACUGUCUCUGUGCAUCGACUUUUCCACUUAAAUCUCCUUCACGCACAAGUGUUUUUGUGCACACUCAUCUACACCACAGAUGAAAGUGCACAAAGACAAUCGUCAUCCUCGGGGUAAAACCAUUCAUGGGAGCCACUUGAAUACCAGAUGCCACCAUAACCUUGGCAACCAUCCCAGCCUGAUGCUCUGGACAUGGCCUACAGUCAAUACCUCUCUCUCCUAACAUUAGGCAGGGACAACUCUACACUCAUUCUCAGCUCUGAAGAAGUUACAGAAUACUGAGACCAUUGCCCCUUUUCCCUUAUAUAUUAGGAGAGUGGGGAGACGACAUGGGCACUGUAACCCCAGAAACCCAGGCGAACUAUUAUAAGGGAAACUCCCUCGCUUCCUUGCAUCCUACUGACUCUGAACCUAGAAAUACCCAAUGACCCCCCUAGGGUCCUGAGAUGUUUAUCCUCUUUGAUAGUCCUCUAGAUUUAAGAGGGACAAAGAGAUGAAUCUUUAUGCCUCCAGGCAGACCCUAGUCAGAUGACCACCCCACCCCACCAAAUGCCUGAGGGCUUAUCACUCUAAGUCACCUCUACACCAUGACAUAGCACCUGUUGUAAAGAGUAUAAAGUCGCCAGUAAGAGUAUAAAGUCGCCAGCACUGAUGUUGUCUGGGGGACAGCUUUUCCAUUCAUGCUGUCCUCCCAGGGUGAUAGCUUUUCCAUCCAUGCUGUCCUCCCAAGGAGCAGCCUUCCAUCUUGCUGUUCCACCUGUACCAUCCUCCUGGCCAUUCUCAACAUUACUCUCUAAAUUAAUAAAUUUCUCUUUUUAUUUUUAA